rfam:Loxodonta africana unplaced genomic scaffold scaffold_13, whole genome shotgun sequence.
GCAGUGGUGGUUCAGUGAUAGAAUUCUUGCCUUCCAUGCAGAGAUCUGAGUUUGAUUCCUGGCCAAUGCA